GGACGCUCAUGAGGGUUUCGGCCCACAUGGGAGUGGCGGACGGGUGAGUAUCGCGUGGGAACCUGCCCUUUUGUGGGGGAUAACCGAGGGAAACUUCGGCUAAUACCGCAUGCGCCCCGGCGCGAGCCGGGGGAAAGAUUGAUCGCAGGACGAGGGGCCCGCGUCGGAUUAGCUAGAUUGGUACGGUAACGGCCUACCAAGGUCGACAAUCCGUAGCUGGUCUGAGAGGACGACCAGCCACACUGGGACUGAGACACGGCCCAGACUCCUACGGGAGGCACCAGUGGGGAAUAUUGGACAAUGGGGGCAACCCUGAUCCAGCGACGCCGCGUGUGUGAAGAACGCCUGCGGGUUGUAAAGCACUUUUAGUGGGGAUGAAAAGCUCACGCCUAAUAACUCUGGGUCUUGACCUAACCCACAGAAAAAGCACCGGCCUACCUCUGUG
rnacentral:rRNA from 1 species